rnacentral:misc_RNA from 1 species
AAAUCUCAACCUCCUCGGUUUCUUUUGGGAUGCUGAAGGAGGCUUGGACUUUGGAGGGCUUUGCUGGACUUGAAAAGGCCAGCUCCUCUCAAAUGAAUUAGCGAGGUUCCCUUUGCCGAUCCUCGACGUGUGAUAAGAUGCUUCCACGUCUCGGUCUUUGGCUCUGUCGCCUUCUGGGACCUGCUUCCAAUCGUCUCUUGACGAGACAAUGUUCGAGCACAUCUCGACCACGUAC